rnacentral:rRNA from 1 species
UACGAAGGGGGCUAGCGUUGUUCGGAAUUACUGGGCGUAAAGCGCCCGUAGGCGGAUUGUUAAGUCGGGGGUGAAAUCCUGAGGCUCAACCUCAGAACUGCCUUCGAUACUGGCGAUCUUGAGUUCGGAAGAGGUUGGUGGAACAGCUAGUGUAGAGGUGAAAUUCGUAGAUAUUAGCUAGAACACCAGUGGCGAAGGCGGCCAACUGGUCCGAUACUGACGCUGAGGUGCGAAAGCGUGGGGAGCAAACAGG